AAACCAACUGGGAUUACCUUAGUAACGGCGAGUGAAGCGGUAAAAGCUCAAAUUUGAAAUCUGGUACUUUCAGUGCCCGAGUUGUAAUUUGUAGAAUUUGUCUUUGAUUAGGUCCUUGUCUAUGUUCCUUGGAACAGGACGUCAUAGAGGGUGAGAAUCCCGUUUGGCGAGGAUACCUUUUCUCUGUAAGACUUUUUCGAAGAGUCGAGUUGUUUGGGAAUGCAGCUCAAAGUGGGUGGUAAAUUCCAUCUAAAGCUAAAUAUUGGCGAGAGACCGAUAGCGAACAAGUACAGUGAUGGAAAGAUGAAAAGAACUUUGAAAAGAGAGUGAAAAAGUACGUGAAAUUGUUGAAAGGGAAGGGCAUUUGAUCAGACAUGGUGUUUUUUGCAUGCACUCGCCUCUCGUGGGCUUGGGCCUCUCAAAAAUUUCACUGGGCCAACAUCAAUUCUGGCAGCAGGAUAAAUCAUUAAGAAUGUAGCUACUUCGGUAGUGUUAUAGCUUUUUGGAAUACUGUUAGCCGGGAUUG
rnacentral:rRNA from 1 species